UAAUACCAGCGCCACGAGUGGGGACCAUGGUUAUUGGGCCUAAAGCGUUCGUAGCAGGUCGUGUAAAUCUUUUGUGAAAUCGUUGGGCUUAACCUAACGGCGUGCAGAAGAAACUGCUCGACUAGAGAUCGGGAGGGGUUAGAGGUAUUCCUAGGGGAGCGGUAAAAUGCUAUAAUCCUAGGAGGACCACCGGUGGCGGAGGCGUCUAACCAGAACGAGUCUGACUGUGAGGGACGAAAGCCAGGGGAGCAAUCCGGAUUAGAUACCCGAGUAGUCCUGGCCGUAAACGCUGCGAGCAAGGUGUUGCAUAUUCUACAUGAAUAUGCAGUGUCGAAGAGAAGUCGUUAAGCUCGCCGCCUGGGAAGUACGGUCGCAAGACUG
rnacentral:rRNA from 1 species